CAGUAUUCUAAGCCUUACUUUACUCAGUUUUACGAUAGAGUAGCAAACUAAUAACCUCUAAAAUCCUUUCUAGUUUUGAUUUCUUUGGAUUAGCUUCUCAAGGAUACUUUCCAAUCACUUCAAGCAGCAGUGCUGUGUCUCAGGCUGAUAUUCACUCUUCUUUAUGAUCACCAAGAUGACAAUUGAAUUGAAUUCACUAAAGCUGGUUUGAACAAAGACAUCCUUAACCCUGGCUGCACACUAGAAUAAUUUGAGGAGCUUUAGAAGCCACAGAUACCUGGAGUCCCACGCCAGAGUUGACGUAAGUGGAUGAAGUCACAGUCUAGACAUUGAAUUUUUAAAAUAUUCCUAAGUGAUCUGAAUGUGCAACCAGUGUUCAGAAACAUUGGUUUAGGCCAGCGGUUCUCAAAAUGUGAUUCUGCCAUCAGCAUCUUGAGCAUUACCUGGAAACUGAUUAGAAAUGCAAAGUCUCUGACUCCAGAACUGCUGAAUCAAAUAUCCAAAUAUGGUUGCUCAUCACAGUUAUCUGGGGAGAAUUUUGAAAAUAGGUACUCCUCAUCUUCACCAUCAGUUCCAGUUUCUGAUACAGAAAAUGUGGGCAAGGUCAGGAAAUGCCAUUCUUCUCCUCCACCUGCUUCUUCUUCCUCAAGAAUUCUAAAGAUUUGACAGUUAUGGGAGCCAUGUUGAAAAUAUAUAUUUUGAAAAGAGUUGUAAUUGAGGAAAUCUGAAUUUCAGUCCCGCCACUGUAGGUAACUGACCAAGAGACCUUGGACCAGGCACUUCUCCUGCCUCCCUUGAAUCAAAGCUUCUAUAUCAACCACUGCUGACUCCCACACUUCCAGGGAAGUUCCAAUGAACUUGAAUGAUGUUUGAAGCUUCAGAGCUCUAUGUAAAUGUGAAGUAUUGCUAUCAAGACAUCUUAGAAUGAAAGAUAAUAUUUUCUUCUUUACUUUUACUCCUUAGAAGACUAUUACCUACUAGUAUGUCCCUUUUAUUUCUUAUUUAAUAAAAAACCUACAGAAAGAUAAA
rnacentral:lncRNA from 1 species